rnacentral:rRNA from 1 species
CCUACGGGGGGCAGCAGUGAGGAAUAUUGGUCAAUGGGCGCGAGCCUGAACCAGCCAAGUAGCGUGAAGGAUGACUGCCCUACGGGUUGUAAACUUCUUUUAUCAAGGAAUAAAGUGAGGCACGUGAGCCUUUUUGUAUGUACUUUAUGAAUAAGCAUCGGCUAACUCCGUGCCAGCAGCCGCGGUAAUACGGAGGAUCCGAGCGUUAUCCGGAUUUAUUGGGUUUAAAGGGUGCGUAGGGGGGUUGUUAAGUCAGUUGUGAAAGGUUGCGGCUCAACCGUAAAAUUGCAAUUGAUACUGGCAGUCUUGAGUACAGUUGAGGUAGGCGGAAUUCGUGGUGUAGCGGUGAAAUGCUUAGAUAUUACGAAGAACUCCGAUUGCGAAGGCAGCUUACUAAACGGCCACUGACAUUGAUGCUCGAAAGUGUGGGUAUCAAACAGGAUUAGAUACCCCGGUAGUC